GCUGCCGUGGCUCAGUGGUUGAGCAUCGACCUAUGAACCAGAAGGUCGGGGUUUGAUUCCCUGUCGGGGCA
rnacentral:tRNA from 1 species